AGAGUCUCCAAUAAGAGUCUGUACUCCAGGUGUGUGUGUAUACAGAGUCUCCAAUAAGAGUCUGUACUCCAGGUGUGUGUGUGUAUAUAUAUACAGAGUCUCCAAUAAGAGUCUGUACUCCAGGUGUGUGUGUAUAUAUAUAUACAGAGUCUCCAAUAAGAGUCUGUACUCCAAGUGUGUGUGUGUGUAUAUAUAUACAGGGUCUCCAAUAAGAGUCUGUACUCCAGGUGUGUGUGUAUAUACAGAGUCUCCAAUAAGAGUCUGUACUCCAGGUGUGUGUAUAUAUAUAUACAGAGUCUCCAAUAAGAGUCUGUACUCCAGGUGUGUGUGUGUAUAUAUACAGAGUCUCCAGUAAGAGUCUGCACUGCAGGUGUGUGUGUGUGUAUACAGAGUCUCCAAUGAGUCUGUACUCCAGGUGUGUUUAUAUAGAGAGAGUCUCAUAAGUAUGUAGUCUAGAGUUUACACAUA
rnacentral:lncRNA from 1 species